rnacentral:rRNA from 1 species
GACGAACGCUGGCGGCGUGCUUAACACAUGCAAGUCGAACGCUGAAGCUCCAGCUUGCUGGGGUGGAUGAGUGGCGAACGGGUGAGUAACACGUGAGUAACCUGCCCAUGACUCUGGGAUAAGCGCUGGAAACGGCGUCUAAUACUGGAUAUGCACCAUAGCCGCAUGGUUUGUGGUGGGAAAGAUUUAUCGGUGAUGGAUGGACUCGCGGCCUAUCAGCUAGAUGGUGAGGUAAUGGCUCACCAUGGCGACGACGGGUAGCCGGCCUGAGAGGGUGACCGGCCACACUGGGACUGAGACACGGCCCAGACUCCUACGGGAGGCAGCAGUGGGGAAUAUUGCACAAUGGGCGCAAGCCUGAUGCAGCAACGCCGCGUGAGGGAUGACGGCCUUCGGUGUAACCUCUUUAGUAGGAGAGCGUAGUGACGGUACUGCAGAAAAGCACCGGCUAACUACGUGCCAGCACG